rnacentral:rRNA from 1 species
UACGAAGGGUGCAAGCGUUAAUCGGAAUUACUGGGCGUAAAGCGUGCGCAGGCGGUGAUGUAAGACAGGUGUGAAAUCCCCGGGCUUAACCUGGGAACUGCAUUUGUGACUGCAUUGCUUGAGUGCGGCAGAGGGGGAUGGAAUUCCGCGUGUAGCAGUGAAAUGCGUAGAUAUGCGGAGGAACACCGAUGGCGAAGGCAAUCCCCUGGGCCUGCACUGACGCUCAUGCACGAAAGCGUGGGGAGCAACCAGG